UAGCAGUAUGCAUGGGCUCGGAAUGGGCAUGUGACUGCAGAUCUAGAGAGCUGGAUCAGAGCAAAAGUGCUGCCAGACUACAGGGCUGAGCGUUGUACAAGACUUUGACACCCUGAGAGGGAAUAAUGCCUAUCUUUAAGCGGGGUCCGUGCAGCGCUUCAGAUCUUGGAAGGCAAACCCUCUGGUAUUGCAGCUGAAGCACUCUGUCAGGAGGCUGUUGCUGUGGCUGGACGUGUGGAGCAAGGAACAUCGUGAGAUUUUUGUGGUGUCAUUAGAUUACUGCUCAUGUGAAAUUGAGUGAUGGAUAGUUUACAUAGUCAGCCUUUUAGCAAAGUUCACCGGCAUGGCUCCAACUGUAUGUAUCGAGGCUAAUCUCAAUUACAACUUGAAAAUGCCUCUGUCUUUGUCACCGCAGGGAUGGUCUGGAAAGUAUCGACUGAUUGCUACAGCUGAAAGCUUGUCAUGUUGAUCUUUAUCCCACCAAAGAUCACAGUGCACUCAGUGUACCAUGCAACUGUUCCACCCUGAUGGCUUUCAUUUUUCCUGGUUUUGCUGUUUGUCUAGGCCUUUCAUACGAUAGUAAUCAAGGAAAAAAAAAUGUAUUAAAAAACAAGUAUGAGGCUUGGAUUGUUUUAAACUGAGAUAAUAAUGAGGGAAUUUGGGAACAGUUGUACUGGCAUUCCUUUAAAAUCUUCCCACCUUCAACUUGGCUGGAAUUCAGGUAGACGAUGAUAGUAGAAAUCAAUACACAGAGGAAAAGUUUGUCAGAUUCAAUCAAGGAAGAUUUCAAAAAAAUGGCCAAGGAUUCUCAAUGCAAGGAAGAAGAAGAAACCAGCAAGGCCACUGAGGUGGGGAGAGGGCCAGUGGAGACAUGUAAUGAAUGGCGAUAACUGCAUUUAAGUUCUUUGGCAAGCGAAGUCCUCCUUAAGAUCUUUCUGUUCAAGGAACCUGUCUGUGGGAAAGCAAAUGACGUAGAAAGCAAGGUGAAGAUAAAAUUCCAGGAAUACACUUGCGCAGACCUACCUGAAACUGCUUCUUGCCAGGAGCCGGUGUUCCCAGCCUCUGAGGGCAAUGCCUCUGCACCAGUUCUGAGAUACACUUGCCUUCAGCUCUAUGAACAGGGGUUAACAGGGGGCUGUAGAAGAAUUAUUUGUGCUGAGACAUUUUUUAAUAAAAGCUAUUAAAAAGAUUACACAA